AAAAGAAACUAACAAGGAUUCCCCUAGUAACUGCGAGUGAAGCGGGAAAAGCUCAAAUUUAAAAUCUGAUGGUCCUCGCGGCCGUCCGAGUUGUAAUCUGGAGAAGUGUUUUCCGCGCUGGACCGUGUACAAGUCUCCUGGAACGGAGCGUCAUAGAGGGUGAGAAUCCCGUCUUUGACACGGACUGCCAGUGCUUUUGUGAUACGCUCUCAACGAGUCGAGUUGUUUGGGAAUGCAGCUCAAAAUGGGUGGUAAAUUCCAUCUAAAGCUAAAUAUUGGCGAGAGACCGAUAGCGAACAAGUACCGUGAGGGAAAGAUGAAAAGAACUUUGGAAAGAGAGUUAAACAGUACGUGAAAUUGUUAAAAGGGAAACGCUUGAAGUCAGUCSCGUCGUCCGGGGAUCAACCUUGCAUUUAUGCUGGGCGUACUUUCCGGUCGAUGGGUCAACAUCAGUUUCGACCGUCGGACAAAGUUCAGGGGAAUGUGGCAUCUUCGGGUGUGUUAUAGCCCUUGUUCGCAUGCGACGAUUGGGACUGAGGAACUCAGCACGCCUUUAUGGUCGGGGUUUACCCACGUAACGUGCUUAGGAUGUUGGCAUAAUGGCUUUAAUCGACCCGUCUUGAAACACGGACCAAGGAGUCUAACAUGCCCGCGAGUGUUUGGGUGGAAAACCCGAGCGCGAAAUGAAAGUGAAAGUUGAGAUCCCUGUCGUGGGGAGCAUCGACGCCCGGACCAGACGUUCUCUGACGGUUCCGCGGUAGAGCGUGUAUGUUGGGACCCGAAAGAUGGUGAACUAUGCCUGAAUAGGGUGAAGCCAGAGGAAACUCUGGUGGAGGCUCGUAGCGAUUCUGACGUGCAAAUCGAUCGUCGAA
rnacentral:rRNA from 1 species